rnacentral:lncRNA from 1 species
GUUCCUUAGUCUUGAGUUCUAAUUUGAUUGUACUGUGGCCUUAGAGACUGUUUUAGAGAGAUCUGUAGAUGUAUAUCAAGUUCAUUUGACCUAGGACAUGAUCCUAUAUCUAGAAAACCCCACUGUCUCAGCACAAAAGCUUAAAAGAGCCCAAAUAUCCAAGGCAAUCCUAAGAAAAACAGAAAAAGCUAGAGGCAUCAUGCUACUCAACUUCAAACUAUACUAAAGGGUUACAGUAACCAAAACAGUAUGGUACUGGUACAAGAACUGACACAUAGACC